rnacentral:tRNA from 1 species
GCCCGUUUCGGAUAUUCACCGCUUCGUAAGCGGUAGGCCGUUGGUUCAAAUCCGACUCGGGGCACCA